UUCCGAAGCCAGCUCACUGCGCUCAUAUGGACGUUGAGGCACGAAAGCUUGGUUACCAACCAGGAUUAGAUCCCCUGUUAGUCCACGCCGUAACGUAUGAUCACUCACUCUUGGCAAUAUAUCGUCAGCGUCUGAGCGAAAGCAUUAAGUGAUCCACCUGGGGAUUACGAUCGCAAGAUUGAAACUCAAAGGAAUUGACGGGGGCCCGCACAAGCGGAGGAACAUGUGGUUUAAUUCGAUGAUACGCGAGGAACCUUACCUGGGCUUGAAAGACAGACCGACGUUUCCCUGAAAGCUGAAUUCCUCUUCGGGCGAACUGCAAGUCACUGCAUGCCUGUCGUUCAGUUCGUUCCGUGCAGUUAUCGGGUUAAGUCCCAUCACGAGCGCGACCCUUAUCGUUAGUUACCAGCGGUUAAUUCCAGGGGACUCUAUCGGAACCUGCCGGUCCAAACCGUGAGGAAGGUGGGGACGACGUCAAGUCAGCCCGGCCCUCAUGUACCAGGGCUACACACAGCGCUACAAUGAUCGAUAGCAAAGGGCAGAUACCUAGCGUCACAGGAUGCUAAUCUAUCCCCUCGUCCUCAGUUCGGAUUGGAGUCUAGCAACUCGACUUCAUGAAGCUGGAUUUCGCUAGUAAUCGCGCAUCCGCCAUGGCCUGCUGAAUACGUUCCCGG
rnacentral:rRNA from 1 species